GGCUCUGCGCGGGGGCAGUACUGUAGCCGACGAGGUUUAUCCGAGGCGCAAUUAUUGCUAAUUGAAAACGCUUCUCAUUUUGUAAUUUCUGAAUUAUGUAAAUAUUUUACGAAAAGCAUAUAUCUUUCUUAUAAUUUUUUAAAAGC